GUCCACGCCGUAAACGAUGAGUGCUAAGUGUUGGAGGGUUUCCGCCCUUCAGUGCUGCAGCUAACGCAUUAAGCACUCCGCCUGGGGAGUACGGUCGCAAGACUGAAAACUCAAAAGGAAUUGACGGGGGCCCGCACAAGCGGUGGAGCAUGUGGUUUAAUUCGAAGCAACGCGAAGAACCUUACCAGGUCUUGACAUCCUUUGACCACUCUAGAGAUAGAGCUUUCCUCGGGGACAAAGUGACAGGUGGUGCAUGGUUGUCGU
rnacentral:rRNA from 1 species